GACGAACGCUGGCGGCGUGCUUAACACAUGCCAGUCGAACGGAAAGGCCCCUUCGGGGUUCCUCGAGUGGCGAACAGGUGAGUAACACGUGAGUAACCUGCCCUUGACUUCGGGAUAACUUCAGGAAACUGGGGCUAAUACCUGAUAGGAAUCCUUGCUGCAUGUUGGGGGUUUGAAAGUUUCGGCGGUGUUGGAUGGACUCGCGACUUAUCAGCUUUUUGGUGGGGCAGUGACUUACCAAGGCUUUGACGGGUAGCCGGACUAAGAGGGCGACCGGACACGUUGGGAUUGAGACACGGACCAGACUCCUACGGGAGGCAGAAGUGGAGAAUAUUGCAAAAUGGGCGGAAACCUGAUGAGGCAACGCGGCGUGCGAGAUGACGGCCUUCAGGUUGGAAACCGCUUUCAGCAGGGGAGAAGCUAGUGGUGACGGUACCUGCAGAGGAAGCACCGGCUAACUACGUG
rnacentral:rRNA from 1 species